rnacentral:rRNA from 1 species
UAGGGAAUAUUAGUAAUGGGCGAAAGCCUGAACUAGCAACGCCGCGUGUGCGAAGAAGGCCUUCGGGUUGUAAAGCACUUUUUGAGAGGAUGAGGAAGGACGGUACUCUCAGAAUAAGUCUCGGCUAACUACGUGCCAGCAGCCGCGGUAACACGUAGGAGGCGAACGUUAUCCGGAUUUACUGGGCGUAAAGCGCGCGUAGGUGGUUUGGUAAGUAGGGCGUGAAAGCUCCUGGCUCAACUGGGAGAGGCCGUUCUAAACUGCCGGACUAGAGGAUGGGAGAGGGGGGUGGAAUUCCGGGUGUAGCGGUGGAAUGCGCAGAUAUCCGGAGGAACACCAGUGGCGAAAGCGGCCUCCUGGACCAUUCCUGACACUCAGACGCGAAAGCUAGGGUAGCAAACGG